GAUGAACGCUAGCGGCAGGCCUAACACAUGCAAGUCGAACGGUAACAGGAAAAAGCUUGCUUUUUCGCUGACGAGUGGCGCACGGGUGCGUAACGCGUAUACAAUCUGCCUUUUACAGGGGGAUAGCCUUUAGAAAUGAAGAUUAAUACCCCAUAGUAUAUAUAGAUGGCAUCAUUUAUAUAUUAAAGUUUCGGCGGUAAAAGAUGAGUAUGCGUUCUAUUAGCUAGUAGGUGUGGUAACGGCACACCUAGGCAACGAUAGAUAGGGGCCCUGAGAGGGGGAUCCCCCACACUGGUACUGAGACACGGACCAGACUCCUACGGGAGGCAGCAGUGAGGAAUAUUGGACAAUGGGCGCAAGCCUGAUCCAGCCAUGCCGCGUGCAGGAAGACUGCCCUAUGGGUUGUAAACUGCUUUUAUACAGGAAGAAACUUACCCACGUGUGGGUAACUGACGGUACUGUACGAAUAAGGACCGGCUAACUCCGUGCCAGCCGCCGCCGUAACAC
rnacentral:rRNA from 1 species